AUAAACAACACGAAAGCUGUGUAUAAAUUACAAACCCAUGAUGAAAAGUUUCAGUUUUUUUUAAUAUAAGGUCUGAAUUUAUAGCUUCCAAUACUUUCCUGAAUCGAAAAAUUAACAUUAUAAACAUUUGUUGAAUAAGUUUUGUAAAAAUAUGUUUAACGCAAUAUAAAAACUUAGACUACCCUUUGUGUUAAAUUUUCCUAGCGUGCAGGUUGUUGUGUUUAUUUUGCAAGUGAAAAAAGAAAAAAAAAUCUGCCAAUUUUGUUCCCGUUUCUUCGGAUAAAAACUAGUCGCAAUUUAUUGUAAACGCUUGUUUAUUGCAUUUUUGUUCCGGGCAGUGCCAAUUAGAGUAAAACAUCAGUUGGAAGAUACUCUCAAAUCAGUGUUGUAUGCCGAAUGGAUCGGUUUGAUAGUAAACCACUGACGAUGAAGGUGUUAACGAUAACGAGCAACAACAACCAUCCGGACAGUGCCGAUGUUACAAGGAUCGAGUAUCCUUGUGAAAACAAAACGCUCCUCGCUCCUCGAAAAACAUUCCUCAAUCUGUCCAGCACCUAUGGAAAUUUUACCGGAGAUGUUCAAUAGAAUGCAGGAAUUGCCGUCGUGUACCUGAUCGAACCUAUCAUUAUGGACGACACUUUCAAGGAUCCACAGAGGAACGAUGUCUAAUAGAGCAGCCGGGUGAAACGAUGUGGCCAUUUAAGA